rnacentral:rRNA from 1 species
ACGCUGGCGGCAGGCCUAACACAUGCAAGUCGAGCGGUAGAGAGAAGCCUGCUUCUCUUGAGAGCGGCGGACGGGUGAGUAAUGCCUAGGAAUCUGCCUGGUAGUGGGGGAUAACGUUCGGAAACGGACGCUAAUACCGCAUACGUCCUACGGGAGAAAGCAGGGGACCUUCGGGCCUUGCGCUAUCAGAUGAGCCUAGGUCGGAUUAGCUAGUUGGUGGGGUAAUGGCUCACCAAGGCGACGAUCCGUAACUGGUCUGAGAGGAUGAUCAGUCACACUGGAACUGAGACACGGCCCAGACUCCUACGGGAGGCAGCAGUGGGGAAUAUUGGACAAUGGGCGAAAGCCUGAUCCAGCCAUGCCGCGUGUGUGAAGAAGGUCUUCGGAUUGUAAAGCACUUUAAGUUGGGAGGAAGGGCAGUUGCCUAAUACGUAACUGUUUUGACGUUACCGACAGAAUAAGCACCGGCUAACUCUGUGCCAGCAGCCGCGGUAAUACAGAGGGUGCAAGCGUUAAUCGGAAUUACUGGGCGUAAAGCGCGCGUAGGUGGUUUGUUAAGUUGGAUGUGAAAUCCCCGGGCUCAACCUGGGAACUGCAUUCAAAACUGACUGACUAGAGUAUGGUAGAGGGUGGUGGAAUUUCCUGUGUAGCGGUGAAAUGCGUAGAUAUAGGAAGGAACACCAGUGGCGAAGGCGACCACCUGGACUGAUACUGACACUGAGGUGCGAAAGCGUGGGGAGCAAAC